GUGCUCACUUUAGCAGCACAUAUACUAAAAUUGAAACGAUACAGAGAUUAGCAUGACCCCUGAGCAAGGAUGACACACAAGUUCGUGAAGUGUUCCAUAUUUAA
ensembl:snRNA U6 U6 spliceosomal RNA